AUUGAGACGACUGGUAAUGAGUAGCAGCAAUAGAAUCACUAAAUAAUAUAGUACCUUCAAUUUGGUCUCUCGUCUAUGUCUUUGGCAUAGAUGGUAGAUACAAAGCAUUCGCUACAACCAAAUCUUCCUCAUGGCUUACAGAUACCAUUACGGGAGAAAGCGGAAAUCGGGGAUCAUGAAUAACAACGGAAGGGUAGCCUAUAUUAAUCAUAACAAAGUCAGUAACUUUACAAACCUUUUAUUUUUAAACAUUGAACAUGGAAAACAAAUGACACACCUGUGGGAGUUCGAACAUACUCCAUCAUAGACAUGUAAACUCGAAAAUUCGGUUGUAAAGCUUUGAAAACAGCUUCUUUGACGCACCAUCUACAUAGGAAAAUAACCGUUAAAACUAUGAAACGAUCAUAAAUAUAGACAAGCAUACCUAACAGCAAGCCAUUUAGCCUGUU